rnacentral:rRNA from 1 species
AGUAAUGUAUGGGGUCGUGCCGAUAGAGGGGGAUAACUACUGGAAACGGUGGCUAAUACCGCAUAAUGUCUACGGACCAAAGCAGGGGCUCUUCGGACCUUGCACUAUCGGAUGAACCCAUAUGGGAUUAGCUAGUAGGUGGGGUAAAGGCUCACCUAGGCGACGAUCUCUAGCUGGUCUGAGAGGAUGAUCAGCCACACUGGGACUGAGACACGGCCCAG